AGGAAAUUAAUUAAUGAAAUAAAAAUAAAUAAAUAUUAAUUAAUAAUUAUAAAAUAUACAAGUGGAGGAUAAUAAGAAGUCUGGAAUGUGUAUGAAAAAAGGGACGAAUGAUAACUGGAAGGUAACCCAACAAAAAAAGGAAGAAAGAAAAUAAAGGAAUAAUACGAAACAUCUGCUUUUGUUGAAGGAGCGCAACGAACCACGACAUAUACCGGGUCCGUGUUGUAUUUAUGAACAUUGGUGGGAUGCGAAGGGGGAGGAGGUAUCAGGGCCUGUUCGGGGGAGGAGGGCCGAUGCUGCCAAACGAAUGGAACGCCGGAAUGAAGGGGCCCCGAUAUAGCGAGGAGCCAACGCCGGCAGCUGCCGGCCGGUAAAACGAGAAACAGAAAUGGGGAGCCACCGGUUGCCGGCUGUACGACUAACACGGCAGACUCUCAAAGACUUACUGGCGUCUCCUCGACGAGGUACGCUUGUGUUAUAUCCGUUGGCUGGACAAAGGCAUUGGGGGAUACCGAUGUGGAGCAGGUGUUCGCCAACACCAGGCGUCCCAGGAGGAAGGGAGAAGAUGCACAAGAAAAGAGAAAGAGAAAAAGAAAGAGAGAGAGGAAACAAGCAGCUUCAUUAUACAGGUAAUCGUUUGUGCCGCAGGUAAAAUCCAAAAGAAAAUUCUACAUCUUUUUUAAACUAAAGAAAACUUAUACAAAGAAGCGUAGAAAAUGGUUUGUUAAAUGAGCCACAAAUGAUCGCCUACCAACAACGCUGGAUGGAAUAAAUUUGGGCUCGAGAAAUUUGGAAUAAUUCGACUCAUUGGAUAGAAUAAUUCGAAAAGUUGGAAGGACAGUGCUAAACUAUCAUAUUACAGAAACGCAACUGUUACAUUGGCAAAAGAAAAAAAACUCGGUGUAUCUUAUAUCAAAAAUUUAAAAGGUUUCAUUGAUAUAACCGUUACCAAACGAAUUAAACAUUCCUCUUAUACGUGUUUGAACAAUUGGUAAUAUGAUCUAUUAAACGUAAACGUAGAACAUAAUGUAAAAUAAUGAAAGAGUGAGCGAAUGAGCAAAAGAAAAAGAGAAGAAGGGUAUUAUAACCGAGGCACGCUUCAAGGGUUCGAUCAAAGAAAAUAAGAAGAAAAAGAAGAGAAGGAGAAAAAAAAUCUACCCCCAAACGAUGAACGAGUUUCUUGUGUCAGAGCCAACUUUACACGUAACUUGGUCCACGUGUAUACACAUAUAUAUUAUAUAUGUGUGUAUAAUAUGUAUACACGUGAUUGAAGUUGUGUAUAAGAGGAGAAUGGAUGGAUGAACGGCACAUACCCGAUGCUAAACAGGAAUCUUUUGCCACGCGCCGUAUGCUUGUUCAACCGUAGGAGAUCCCUUCUCCCAUAUGCUCCCUUCCUACGCCCUUCCUACGCCCAAUGGCACACGACAGACUGCAAAUGCAUCUCUCUUUCUUCGGCAUCUCUCACAGGCAUCUCUCUAUCGGACAUCGAUGCCCUUAUGAAAGCCGGUUCAAGCCGCGACCCGGUUCUAUUCCCUUUAUACAGAUCAACAACACCGUUCUAGAUUGGCAGCUGGUAAGCGAGCUUUCGUACAAAUCUUAUUUUUUUUUCUUAUUUUAUUUUCUUCACUUUUACCUGUUCUCAAAAUAUUUCAGAUUUUUUCUCUUACAUUUUUCUCCAACUUUUUCUAACAUUCUUUUCUUCUUUUUUUUCUUAUCCUCCUUCGAUGAUAUUAAACUCUCGGUUCAUCCCUCUUAAAUAAUAUUUUAUUCAAUCGUUUUACAAUUUUUCUACACAGACUGUUUGUUUGUUUGUUUAUUUAUUCCUUUUUUUUAAGGGGUAGUUUUCACAUUUCCUUUCUUUUAAUUUUUUAAUAAUUAAUCGUUCUUUUUAUUAUUCUUUACAUAUAUAAUUUUUUGUUUGUUUAAGUGCGAAUUUGAGAUUCACAUAUCGUAUAUAUAUAUAUAAUAUAAUUCGUUCUCCUAAAUUUCUAUCACGAAUUUAACAACCUAUACAUAUUACAUGUUACUGCGUUUUCGUAUUACACGAGCUCUUUUGUUUAGGGAAAAUGUUAGGUUUUUAUUUUCUUACAAAAAUUCAUAUAUUGACUAAUAACAAUAUAUAUUUAAAAACAAUUCACGUUCCGCGUACGGGUUUGUCUUUUUAAUUUUAUUUUAGUUUAUUUAAUUUGUUUUUUUGUUUUGUUAAUUUUAUUUUUAACGUUAAUAUUUAAUAUGUACGUACGUAAUGCAUGUAUUUAUGUGUGUAUGUGUGUAUCUAUACGAGCGAAACGUAACGUUCGAUACAAUUUGUUAUUUUUUAAUUGCGAAAAUGAUCGUUUAUACGCGUUCGAUAAUAUAUUUUGUUCUUUAUUUCUUUCUGUUUUUUGUAUUUUAUUUUUUUGUUAACAGAUCUCUCUAAAUACGAAAAAAAUCAUAAUUUUUCUUAUUCACGAAUAAUAUCAUUCUAUACGAUCUCUUCUUAAGUAACACGAAUGAAUCAUCUCGGCGUGUAUGAACGACAAAUGUUUUGUAUUCAUUUGAAAAUACAUAUUUUGUUUCUGCUGCCUUUAAUUUGUUCGAUUAUUUAGUUGACACUUGGACAUGCAUAUAAAUGAUUUUAAGAUAUUGAUCAUUUUCCAAUGAGAUGAUUCCUGAGACAACGUGCUUCACCGAUUAUUAUCAUUAAUAUUAUUAUUAUUAUUAUUAUUAUUAUUACUAUUAUUAUUAUUUUAUAUUAAUAUACUUUGUUAAUUCGAAUUUUCUUUUAAAUAUUUUGUUUUCGUUCUCUAAAAAUUAAUAAACUAUCUUCGUUGAUAAACAAAAGAGCAUUUAUUAUAUAACUUAAUAAUAAUUCUUUUAAUCUCCUACAAAUAUAUACGUAUAAUAUAUUAUUAAUUAUGAAUCAUUUUUUUUUAAUUAAAAUUCAUUUCAAAAGCACGUGCAUAGACACCCAGAGUUAUGAACUUUUUUAGUGCACGUUCGUACGAGUGUGUUGCCUGUCGCCAGAGGCAAAAUUCGUGGAUUUAUCAUUUGGAUUUAUAUUUUUUUCGUUUCCUUUCUUUUAUAUUUUAUCACGUACGAGAGUAUUAUUAUAAUAACGAAAUAUCUCGUUUCUCAGAUAUUUCUUAAACAAUAUUUCAAUCGAAGAAGAAAGAAAAAAAUAUAAUAAUAAUAAUAAUAUACAAAUAUACAAUUCAACGUAAUAAUAUAAACUUGAGCUCUAUCUGCAAUAAUUUAUUAUCACGAAUUUGUUAUUCGAUCGAUUGUUCAGUAAAAGGAAGCGCUUAGAUUGAUCUAAUUAAUUUAAUUAAAAAUUGUUCUUUUUAAAUCAGAGCUUCCGGAAGUGUGGGUAGCGAUCCCCAUACGAGGUCGCGUAAUUAAAUUUGGAAGUAACAGAAAUUUCAGUAAGAAUACAAAAUUAUUACAAAUAAUUUGGGUGAUCGCCAAGUGGACAAAAUUUGAGAAGCCCUGUUUUAAACAACAGUUUUUGUGAUAGACGAGUCUGAUCCUUCUUUUCUGUCAUUAAUUAUUUCAAAAAAUCUUUCUUCGUGGUUUGUGCUCGCGUCGACGAAAUUAUGUACAUCGUGCAAUAAAUAUGUUUUUUCUCUUAACAAAUGAUGAUUAAUAAUUAAUCAUUCGCAAAAAAUCUCGAUGCACCGAUCUUCGCACUAUUUGUUUAAAUAAUAAAAAAUAAAAAUUAAAAAAUGGCACUAAAGAAUAAUCCUGAUCGACCAUUAUUCUGUACACUCAACUCUCUUAUAAAACGGUACUCUGAAAACACAGUUUUUAUAUAGCACGCAUAGCACAAUUUGUAAACAACAAAAAGUGAAAAAUCGUAUUAGAAGAAAGUUGAGUAAAUACAUAUGAUCGUUUAGUACUCUUUUUUUAAGUUAACAGCUAUUAACGGCUACGUUUAAUCGCGUUCGUUGAAAUCUCCUAGUAUCUUAAAAACACAAACUUCAUUUUAUCGCUAAAUGCUAUAUCUAUCGACAUAGGAGUAUGGGUAUUUGUAUGUAUGUGUGUCUAUGAUUUAAUCGUUAGUCACCUCGCAUGAAAUUAUAAAUUAAUUGGCAAGUCCCGAUCAAAAAGAUCAUUCAACAAAAAAGAAAAAAAAA